AUGGCUUCGGCGAACAACUGGCUAGGCUUCUCGCUCUCCGGCCAAGGGAGCCACCCACAGCCCCACCAGAACGGCUCACCCGCCGCCGCCGCCGCCAUCGACGUCUCCGGUGGAGGCGACUUCUAUGGCCUGCAAGGUCAGACGGCGCCGGAUGCGCACCUCGGCAUGUCUGGCCUACGGGCCGACGCCAACUACGGCGUCAUGGAUGCCUUCAACGGAGGCACCCAGGAAACCCAAGAUUGGGCAAUGAGGGGUUUGAACUACCACGGCGGCUCCUCCGAGCUGUCGAUGCUAGUCGGCUCGAGCGGCGGGAGGAUGACGGUGGACGACGGUGAGGCGCCGAAGCUCGAGGACUUCCUAGGCGGCAGCUCCUUCUCCGACGUGCAGGACCACGCCGGCGGCUACCUGUUCUCGUCCGGAAGCGCGAUGGGCAGCAGCGCGGCGGCUGGUUCACACGGCGUAGACGGCCGUGGCGGCAGCACCAUAGAGCUGUCCAUGAUCAAGACAUGGCUCCGGAACGACAAUAACCAGGCGCAGCAUGACCAGGAGAUGAGCGCCGACGCGAGCGCGACCAGCUAUGCGUGCUCCGGCGCGCCAGGGAGCACCGGCAACGGCGUGGGCGUCGCGAGCUCGCGUGGGCAGGGCCUGGCGCUCUCGAUGAGCAUGGGGUCGAACUCGCACCCGCAGAUGCCGGUGGUCCCGGCGGCGGUGGGGACAGAGAGCACGUCGUCGGAGAACAAGCGGGUGGAUUCGCCGAGCGCCGGCACGGCAGACGCCGUCCAGAGGAAAUCCAUCGACACCUUCGGGCAAAGGACCUCGAUCUACCGAGGUGUAACAAGGCAUAGAUGGACAGGGCGGUAUGAGGCGCAUCUAUGGGACAAUAGUUGCAGGAGAGAGGGGCAGACUCGCAAGGGGAAACAAGUUUAUCUGGGCGGUUAUGACAAAGAAGACAAGGCAGCUAGGGCUUAUGAUUUGGCAGCUCUAAAAUAUUGGGGCACAACCACAACAACAAAUAUCCCAAUAAGUACUUAUGAGAAGGAGAUAGAGGAAAUGAAACAUAUGACCAGGCAGGAGUACAUUGCAUAUCUUAGGAGGAAUAGUAGUGGUUUUUCUCGUGGCGCAUCAAAAUAUCGCGGUGUAACCAGGCAUCAUCAGCAAGGAAGAUGGCAAGCAAGGAUAGGGAGAGUCGCGGGCAACAAGGAUCUCUACCUCGGCACCUUCACGACCGAGGAGGAGGCCGCGGAGGCGUACGACAUCGCCGCCAUCAAGUUCCGGGGGCUCAACGCCGUCACCAACUUCGAGAUGAGCCGCUACGACGUCAAGAGCAUCCUGGAGGGCAGCACGCUGCCGGUGGGCGGCGCGGCCAGGCGCCUCAAGGAGGCGGCUGAGCUCGCCGAGGCCGGCGUGUGGCGGGCGGAGGACGGCAGCAUCGUCUCGCACCUGCAGGCCGACGCCAUGGCCGGGUACCACCAUGGCUGGCCCACGUCCAUCGCGUUCGGCAGCCACCAGCAGCAGCAGUCCGCGGCGCAGCUCGCCCUGCACUACCCGUACGGCGUUGGCGGGCACGCCCGCGGGUGGUGUAAGCCGGAGCAGGACGCGGUGAUCGCGGCCGCGCACGGCGGGCAGGACAUCCAGGAGCUCCACCUGGGAAGCGGCGGCAGCACCCACAACUUCUUCCAGCCGGCAUCGAGGGCCGCAGUUUACGGCAACGGCGGUGGCGGCGCCUGGUACCAAGGCCUCGGAGGCAACGCGUACAUGAUGCCGGUGGGCACGGUGGUGGACGCCGACCAGGGGCACAGCGGCAGCACGGCGACUACGGAGGAGGGGAGGCUCGUGGGGUACGGCGCCGAGGCUGGCGUCGACCCGUACGCGGCCAUGAGGCGCGCCUACGAGCUCUCCCAGGGCUCCUCGUCCGUGAGCGUCGCCAAGGUGGCGGACGGCUACUCCAACAAUUGGAGCUCGCCGUUCAAUGGCAUGGGGUGA
rnacentral:rRNA from 1 species